rnacentral:rRNA from 1 species
GAAGUGGCGGACGGGUGAAGUAAAUGUAGAGAAUCUCGUCCUUAAGCGGGGGACAACAGUUUGGAAACGACUGCUAAUACCCCAUAUGCGCGUAGCUGAGAUGCUAUUCGUGAAAACUCCGGUGCUUAAGGAUGAGUCUGCAUCUGAUUAGCUAGUAGGCGGUGUAAUGGACCACCUAGGCGACGAUCAGUAGCUGGUUUGAGAGGAUGAUCAGCCACAAUGGGACUGAGACACGGCCCAUACUCCUACGGGAGGCAGCAGUAGGGGAUUUUGCGCAAUGGGGGAAACCCUGACGCAAGCAACGCCGCGUGAUUGAAGAAGCCCUUCGGGGUGUAAAGAUCUGUCAGUGGGGACGAAACUUGACGGUACCCACAGAGGAAGCAUCGGCUAACUCCGUGCCAGCCGCAGC